UACCUCAGUAACGGCGAGUGAAGCGGUAACAGCUCAAAUUUGAAAUCUGGCCUCACGGUCCGAGUUGUAAUUUGUAGAGGAUGUUUCGAACGUGGUCCGGUCUAAGUUCCUUGGAACAGGACGUCAUAGAGGGUGAGAAUCCCGUAUGCGACUGGGUGCCUUAGUUCAUGUGAAACUCCUUCGACGAGUCGAGUUGUUUGGGAAUGCAGCUCAAAAUGGGUGGUAAAUUUCAUCUAAAGCUAAAUAUUGGCCAGAGACCGAUAGCGCACAAGUAGAGUGAUCGAAAGAUGAAAAGCACUUUGGAAAGAGAGUUAAACAGUACGUGAAAUUGUUGAAAGGGAAGCGCUUGCAAUCAGACUUGCACGCAGUUGAUCAUCCGGUGUUCUCACCGGUGCACUCGAUUGUGUUCAGGCCAGCAUCGGUUUCGGUGGUUGGAUAAAGGCCUUGGGAACGUAGCUCCUUUCGGGGAGUGUUAUAGCCCUCGGUGCAAUGCAGCCUACCGGGACCGAGGACCGCGCUUCGGCUAGGAUGCUGGCGUAAUGGUUGUAAGCGACCCGUCUUGAAACACGGACCAAGGAGUCUAACAUCUAUGCGAGUGUUUGGGUGUCAAACCCAUACGCGUAAUGAAAGUGAACGGAGGUGAGAACCCUUAAGGGUGCAUCAUCGACCGAUCCUGAUGUCUUCGGAUGGAUUUGAGUAAGAGCAUAGCUGUUGGGACCCGAAAGAUGGUGAACUAUGCCUGAAUAGGGUGAAGCCAGAGGAAACUCUGGUGGAGGCUCGCAGCGGUUCUGACGUGCAAAUCGAUCGUCAAAUUUGGGUAUAGGGGCGAAAGACUAAUCGAACCAUUGGGUGGUACUAGGUGGUUAAUUAAGGGCUACGGUCCUUCAGUCCAGCAAUGGGCAAUACUGCUGAAAUGCAUGGACUCUCUGAAAUAUGAUUGACCUGCAGCCGUCGAAAGACUGGUUCACAGACUAAGUAGCAGUAGCCAGUAUAUAAAUGUGUACUGGUUAAGAUAUAGCCGGUUCCGCUUCUGACAAGAAGUAGGAGAAGAU
rnacentral:sRNA from 1 species